rnacentral:rRNA from 2 species
AGAGUUUGAUCCUGGCUCAGGAUGAACGCUGGCGGUGUGCCUAAUACAUGCAAGUCGAGCGAACGGACGAGAAGCUUGCUUCUCUGAUGUUAGCGGCGGACGGGUGAGUAACACGUGGAUAACCUACCUAUAAGACUGGGAUAACUUCGGGAAACCGGAGCUAAUACCGGAUAAUAUUUUGAACCGCAUGGUUCAAAAGUAAAAGACGGUCUUGCUGUCACUUAUAGAUGGAUCCGCGCUGCAUUAGCUAGUUGGUAAGGUAACGGCUUACCAAGGCAACGAUGCAUAGCCGACCUGAGAGGGUGAUCGGCCACACUGGAACUGAGACACGGUCCAGACUCCUACGGGAGGCAGCAGUAGGGAAUCUUCCGCAAUGGGCGAAAGCCUGACGGAGCAACGCCGCGUGAGUGAUGAAGGUCUUCGGAUCGUAAAACUCUGUUAUUAGGGAAGAACAUAUGUGUAAGUAACUGUGCACAUCUUGACGGUACCUAAUCAGAAAGCCACGGCUAACUACGUGCCAGCAGCCGCGGUAAUACGUAGGUGGCAAGCGUUAUCCGGAAUUAUUGGGCGUAAAGCGCGCGUAGGCGGUUUUUUAAGUCUGAUGUGAAAGCCCACGGCUCAACCGUGGAGGGUCAUUGGAAACUGGAAAACUUGAGUGCAGAAGAGGAAAGUGGAAUUCCAUGUGUAGCGGUGAAAUGCGCAGAGAUAUGGAGGAACACCAGUGGCGAAGGCGACUUUCUGGUCUGUAACUGACGCUGAUGUGCGAAAGCGUGGGGAUCAAACAGGAUUAGAUACCCUGGUAGUCCACGCCGUAAACGAUGAGUGCUAAGUGUUAGGGGGUUUCCGCCCCUUAGUGCUGCAGCUAACGCAUUAAGCACUCCGCCUGGGGAGUACGACCGCAAGGUUGAAACUCAAAGGAAUUGACGGGGACCCGCACAAGCGGUGGAGCAUGUGGUUUAAUUCGAAGCAACGCGAAGAACCUUACCAAAUCUUGACAUCCUUUGACAACUCUAGAGAUAGAGCCUUCCCCUUCGGGGGACAAAGUGACAGGUGGUGCAUGGUUGUCGUCAGCUCGUGUCGUGAGAUGUUGGGUUAAGUCCCGCAACGAGCGCAACCCUUAAGCUUAGUUGCCAUCAUUAAGUUGGGCACUCUAAGUUGACUGCCGGUGACAAACCGGAGGAAGGUGGGGAUGACGUCAAAUCAUCAUGCCCCUUAUGAUUUGGGCUACACACGUGCUACAAUGGACAAUACAAAGGGCAGCGAAACCGCGAGGUCAAGCAAAUCCCAUAAAGUUGUUCUCAGUUCGGAUUGUAGUCUGCAACUCGACUACAUGAAGCUGGAAUCGCUAGUAAUCGUAGAUCAGCAUGCUACGGUGAAUACGUUCCCGGGUCUUGUACACACCGCCCGUCACACCACGAGAGUUUGUAACACCCGAAGCCGGUGGAGUAACCUUUUAGGAGCUAGCCGUCGAAGGUGGGACAAAUGAUUGGGGUGAAGUCGUAACAAGGUAGCCGUAUCGGAAGGUGCGGCUGGAUCACCU